rnacentral:ncRNA from 1 species
AAAGGGGUGCUGGCGUAAGGCCGGCUGAGAGGGAGCCCGCGGCUCCAAACCCUGUAACCUGAUCCGGGUAAUGCCGGCGGAGGGAUUGUGU